UAUAAAAUGGAGCAUGAGUCAUUUUUGCACAUUCGUAAUCUAGCACCGCUAUCAUAACCCUAACGUUAUUGUGUUAAGUGUCGAUGUCAAGAACUCAAGGAUGAGGUUGGGUUUCAAAACACAACCCUAGCAUACCUUGCACUUGCACAUUUGUAACUAGCAUUUUCAAUGUGUUGAGAAUCGAGAGCUUGAGUUAAGUUUCCUAACACUUAACUGGUUAACCAUAAGACUUCUACAAAAUCUGAAUAUAUAUAUGCCUGACAUCAACACUCGUUUGCUUUUCAUUUGCUCGAUUUCUUCCUCCAUUUGUGUUUGCCUAUGCUAGAUUCCAUCAUUAAUUGGGUGAUUUCUUUUACCUUGUAAUUGUUAAUCAUCGUGGCAUUCUUCUUGUUGGAACGAAGUUGAAAGGUGUGAUACACUAAUACCGUGGUCAAUUGAUGUUCAUAUCAUUUUGGGCAAUUGUUAAUGGAUAGUACAUUUUCAACUCUAUUCAAUUCUCCAGGAAUGGUUUUCUUACAUUUGACUUUUUGGUGUUCCUGGUUUCUUUUUUAGAAUGGAUGAAAAAUUGUGGAGUAAGAUUGAAAAGAAAACAUAUAUUAGUAUAUAACAAUAGUUGACUAUGGAAAUAUUUAGAAUGAUCGGGAAAAGGGUUAUUAACCUUGUGUUAAUGAAUGUCCAUUAUACUUAUUAAAAAUUGCUGUGAAGAAUUUCCUUUUUUUCAUUUUCCUCUUUCUUUUUAUUGUACAAAUAUACAUAUGACUAGAAUAAAACUUGGUAGUUCCUUCGGUUUGCAGGAGCAUGCCUAGUUUACUUGCUUGAAGAAAAUAGGAAUGUAAAAUGUAAUUAUCAUCAUUAUAACACCUAAUCAUUUAUGAA